ACAAAAAGCUGUUAAUGUGAGAGUGUGAAAUGCCAAAGCAGAGAGCGGGCAGCUGUUCAGAAAGUGAAAUGCAGUGAAAAUGGGUAUGUCCAAAUGACGAUGAGGUUGCACUGCAUUCUUCACCCAGCCAUGGCGGGCCUCUAAUGUGGGAAACACGCAGCCGUGGUUGACGAAUUAGCACCCACUAAGCCUGUCAAAGAGGCUGUGGCGAGGGGUGCUGGCUGAGGACUGGCUUUCUCCUCCACUUUGUUCUGCGUGAUGCCUUCAGCCCACGUCAGUGCAGCUGGGCUCCCAAACCACUGGGAGCUCUGCCCCUCCAUGGGCCCAGAGCCUUAACAUGGCCUGUGACAGAUGACACACCGUCUGGAAACUGCUCUUUGCUACCUCCUAGGAUUUUUAGUUUAAAUGAUUACAUGUGAUAUUCCACUGGAAGUAUUAAGUGUCGAUAAACUCAAUGAAAUCUUGCAACCUGUACGCAUGGCAGAACAUGAUCUUGGAUAUCAUCAGCAAAGAAUGUGAGCUCCUCCCAAAAGAGAAGUACUUUGCUUUCCAGCCAUGAAGAUGCAAGCACUGAGUAUCAUGCACAUGAAUGUUUGACAGAGCAGAGGUGAGAAGUGGGAGUUUUUGUCCAUUGAGAAAGCUGGGCAGUUUGACAGAUCAGGAAAACAGGACCAAAACCAGACUUUAUAUGGAACUUAUACUUUUACUCUUUCCUCAUUUCUACGUUUUCCUCCUGAAAACAAAACUCCAUGAACCAAGAUGAUGGUAAAAAGGAGAAAAUGCUUGUGGCAAUAAAAAUGCGUGACACUACAUAAAAAUAAACAAGUGACUAUGGACAAUGGGGGAAGUUAUGCAGAACUGGUGAACUGUGUUCUACUCCUGUUCCCAGUAGCCGUCAUUUUUCCAGCCUUGGCAGGCCAGACUGAAGAAGAGCACGUGAAAAGUGUACCAGGAGAGCACAGCAGCCUGCACAAGCCUAUGGGAGGGGGGAAAAAGUUACAGAGGGAGGAAAAUUACAGAAAAAUGUGGACCCCAAGAGAGUACCUCUGAACAAACUGCGGCAA